rnacentral:lncRNA from 1 species
UCAAUGCAAGGAGUACAAUCAAGAAUUGGUUCACAUUGUUUCUAGGCAUCAUAUAUAGAUCCCCAUGAUCUUCAUAUAACAUUUUGAUUAAGAAAUCAUCAAGAGUUUGAAGCUUGUUUGCCUAGGAAACCCUAAUUUAUCUAGGUAUCUUAUGUGACUUCUUCAACAAUUGACCAAAUAUUUUAAUGGAUACUUCAUAUUGCAUCAUCCUACACAUAUAUGAU